GGGGGUGUAGUCUAGUGAUAGAACAAUUGUCUAGCAUGCUGGAGGCCCUGGGUUCGGUUCCCAGCACCAUCA
rnacentral:tRNA from 1 species